rnacentral:tRNA from 1 species
GCCUGGGUGGCUCAGUCGGUUGAGUGUCUGACUUCGGAUCAGGUCAUGAUCUCAUGGUUCGUGGGUUCGAACCCCGCGUUGGGCU